CUACGUGCCAGCAGCCGCGGUAAUACGUAGGUGGCGAGCGUUGUCCGGAAUCAUUGGGCGUAAAGGGAGCGCAGGCGGGCCGGUAAGUCUUACUUAAAAGUGCGGGGCUCAACCCCCGUUCGCUCCCGAUACCGGCAGACUUGAGUUUGGUAGGGGAAGGUGGAAUUCCUAGUGUAGCGGUGGAAUGCGCAGAUAUUAGGAAGAACACCAGUGGCGAAGGCGGCCUUCUGGGCCAUAACUGACGCUGAGGAGCGAAAGCUAGGGGAGCAAACAGGAUUAGAUACCCUGGUAGUCCUAGCCGUAAACGUUGGGCACUAGGUGUGGGGGACAUUCCACGUUUUCCGCGCCGUAGCUAACGCAUUAAGUGCCCCGCCUGGGGAGUACGGCCGCAAGGCUAAAACUCAAAGAAAUUGACGGGGGCCCGCACAAGCGGCGGAGCAUGCGGAUUAAUUCGAUGCAACGCGAAGAACCUUACCAAGGCUUGACAU
rnacentral:rRNA from 1 species